UUGUUCUCCCUCUGACUCUUCGUCUCUGUUCGUCAUUCUCUUGUUGUAGUACAGCCAGGGGAGAGGAACAGCCACAGUGACAUUACUAGAGAUUAUCUUCUCAUAUCUUGACGAUUUUCCCACCCCAGCAAACGAGAUGAUCUCCACCUGUGUUUAUCUUUAAUCUUAUCCCAUUGCCUCUGCUUCCUUACGUGAUUUCAUAAAGAGUCCCUUAUGCUUCUUGUGGAGAAAUUCAGAAAAGCACGGAAAGAUCCUUGUGAUGAGAAAGUGUGCUCCCAGAGGUACAUAGCAGCUUGCAUGAAAACUACCGUUUCACUGCCAUGGAAAUGAGAAAUCGUGAGAGUUAAUGGAAUGAUGAAUCCCCAUUGCUUGAAGACUUUCAAUCAGAGCUGGCUGCCUCAGAGAGUUACUGUUUUCUGUGCAGGAGGAACCGGAGGAGCCAACUUUCCAGAUCUCCUGAAGGUCUCAUGGAGGGGUUGAAUGUCUUUGGGAAUGCUGUUGGACCGGCACUGGUUUCUUUAGAGUUCAUUUGGUGUUAAGUUCACAGAUGCCUAAUUAACAGGAGUCUUAGCAGAGGUCCAGUGUGCCGUACCACUGCCUGCUAUUCGUGUAUCAAAACCACUCGGGUCUCUUUUGCUAUUGCAAAAGGAAACGUUCAGCCCUGCUCCUGUUCGGACGAUCUAUUGGCUCUGUGUCAGAAAAUACAACGGCACGGAUCUGAGAGCAUUAGUUAAAGACGUGAAGAAUCACAUCCUACAUUGUAAACGUAAAUUUGUGUGAAUUAUAUUUUAAGUACGCUCGGGAAAUUUACAUAUAGAUUAAACCCUAAAUAUACGAAAUGUCAGCCUGUUUACAUCCUAAUGCCUUCACAUCAGGCAGCAUAUGGAUUGGGUUCAAUGCUGGAGCACUCCCCUCAUUACCUCUAACUAACACGUUACAACAGCGAGGGUUAAAAGGAAACCCUACAGGCCAGAGACAUUCUGGGGAGGUGUUUGAAUUGCUUGGACUUUGCUAUGAACUUGUCAGAAUUUUAAUACACGUUGCCUGGAAAGCUAAUGAGUCUCCAUCUGGAGACAUAUAACUGAUUAUGGGCUUAAUUAUUUCUCUUACCUGAACAGCUCCAUUCUUUGUUCACACUUGCUGCUAUAAAAACAGCAGCAGCAGCAACCUGAAGGCUAUUAUUCCUCAGACGUGUAUUCCAUACAGUCAAACAUCCCCAUUUCUUUGUGUCUUUGUCUUUUUUCCCCCUCUAAUUUUCAUUUCUUGGGCAUUUGAAAUGGUUCCUCCCUCAGGGUGAUCUUGUAGUGGUUCGCAGUUCAUCAGGAUGGAUGUACAGAUACUAUUGAUAUCUGUGUCUUCAUGGACAGGGCAGCGUAAUCUAAAAGCUGUGGCACUCGAGGGUCACAACAGUGGGACAAUAUAGAGUGAUCACUCCAAGUGAAGUAUAAUAGCAUUGAAGGAGGAAACAGAAGCUUGCAGGGCAAAAGAAAGCCGAAGGUGCGCUUGAGUUGUUUGGAUAUGGAUAGAGCACAGCAGGAAAAGGUCCACAAAACCUUACCAAUGGAGACCAGCUGUCCAGGCGAAGGAGUUGAAACGUGCCUGUAGAUUCACUGCAGUCCCCUUCUUUCUUCUUUCUGUCUUCAUCUGGAAGAAAUCAGGUUACAAACCGCCUAAAUAAAGACUGUGCACAGGCAGCACCUGGGUUUGGGUUCAGUGUGGUUGGGCUAUCUGGAGUGCUUUGCUGCAGGGUUUGGAAACCAGAAGCAGUAGAGGAGACUCCCAAAGAUAGCAUAACUAAUCAGUGCAUUUCAGUUAGUGUGCUUAUUCCUCCACUGGUGUAAGGGCUUGGAUUUUAGGGGUACUUUUCUUUUUCGGUGUACCAACUGUCAUAUUUUUCCUCACUCUUUUGCUUUAUUCCCAUGAGCUGAACUCAGCCUGUCUGGGGUGACCAGGACCCUUCCAGCUCUGUGUCAUGGAGGCAUCAGGAUCUAAAUACUGAUGAGGCAAUGGGUGCAGCCACAUGAUAAUGGGGGCAUUAAGAUCUCAGUUUACCUUGUAGGAAUGUAACAAUGAUGUUUUGUCUUGCUGGAGACAGUAAUUGUGUGCAGGCAAUAACCAAUUUCAAAGAGAUGCAAAAAAGUUUUCCUUGCUUGGCUAAAACAUCCAUCGGAGAAGGUAACUACCUAUGCCUUGCUCCUGCAGGCAGCCAGAAAAAUGUCCCCAGGUCUUCCAGGCAGCCGUGAAAUGAAAACUUUCUUCUAAAAGAUGAUACAUUCCUCUUAUUAGUUACAGCCCAGUGGCCACUGUCAAAC